rnacentral:lncRNA from 1 species
GGCAGAGCGCACCCCUCUCGCCGGCCUGUGCCUGGGGCCGACGGGGUGGAGAACCGGGGACCCGGAGCGGCGCGUUAGAGUCCCUGGCGCGCAGCGUCCCGGCUGCGGCGGUGCCAGCUGCCCAUCUUCGCGUGCGCUCAGCACUAAGGGCUGCUCUGCAAGGGCCUCCACUAAAAGGAAGUCGGCCCCUCUGGACCUCCAGAGAACCGGCUCAUGCUGGCGUUCAGCGGCGCCGCAAUGGACGUGGGAAACAAUGCGGCACGCGGAAGAGAAAGCUGGAAAAAUUGGCUGAGGACAUAGCCCAGACCGGGAGUUAGGAGAUCUGAUAUGCAGAGACCUCCAGGAGUCACUUCAUGACCUCCAAGGCCACCGACCAGCAGAGUUAUUCAAAAAGAUGCUGCUAAGACCGAUGUCAAAGAGCAUAUUGCGUAAGUUUUCUUCUAGAAUUUUUAUGGUUUCAGGUUUUACAUUCAAGUCUUUAAUCCAUUUUGAGUUAAUUUUUGUGUAUGGUGGCAAGUAACAGUCUACUUUCAUUCUUUUGCAUGUGGCUGUGCAGUUUUCCCAACACCAUUUAUUGGAGAGACUGUCCUUUCUCUAUUGUAUGUUCUGGCAGUCACUAUAGAGAACAAUAUGGAGAGUCCUCAAAAAAUUAGCAAUAGGACUACCAUUUAAUCCAGCUAGUCCAUUUCUGGGUAUUUGUCCAAAGAAUACGAAAACGCCAAUGUGUAAAGGUAUUUGCACCCUGUGGUCAUUGCAGCAUUAUUUGCAAUAGCCAAGACGCAGAAACAAUCUAAAGGCCCAUCAAUGGAUGAAUGUGAUGGGGUUCAAGGCAGGCCACCCUCUGAUAUGCCACUCUGAUAUGCGGAUUAUUUCAAGCUAAAGACAACAGAGGCUCAGAAGACUCUGGAAGAACGUUUGGCCACCCUCCUCCCUCCUCCCCCCCCCCCCUCCCCCCCCCCCCCCGCAAUUGCCUAGAAGAAUUUAAGAUAGAAGGACCUAUAAGAUAUAGUUACCAGAAGAUAACUAUAGUAUAGUGUAAAAUAGGUGUGAUAAGAAAGGCACCAACAAGCCCAUUUUAUCACACUUCUGCCUCUCAGGCCACAUUCUCUACAGGUGGCUCAGCAAACAAUUGUCUAACAAAUGUGCUUUUCCAUCUCCAUGUGAAUUGCCUUCCUCCCCUCUGAAGUCCCAACCCACUACCCCCAACAUUCUCCUUUGUCUUUAGCUGAAGAUGGUAUUUAAGAUGGUGACUUUGGCCAUUGUGGCAAGUUGCUCAGUUUCCUUGGGUUUCUCACAUGUAUACAUGCUAUUAAAGUUUGUUCUGUUUUCUCCUACUAACCUGCCUUAUGUUAUUUAGUUAUUUGACCAUCCCUAAGAAGCUUAGGGAAAAGGGGAGGAGAAUUCUCCCUUUUCCAGUGUAAAUGGAUAAAGAAGAUGUGGUAUAAAUACACAAUGGAAUACCACUCAGCCAUAAAAAAAAGGUGACAUCUUUACAUUUAUGACAACAUGGAUGGACCUUGAGGUUAUUACGCUAAGUGAAAUAAGUCAGAUGGAGAAAGUCAAAUACCACAUGAUUUCACUUUUCUUCAAGCGAUUCCGGUGUACUGUCAAGGCUGAGAACCGCCCAUCUCCCCUAGAGGCUUGGUACUCAAAGUGUGGUCCCUGGACGAGGCAGCCCCCACCCAGAUCUGCUGAAUCACGGUCUACAUUUCAACAAGGCUCUUAGAAGGCCUCAUUUCUUCAACAAUUUCUCAUAUGACAUGAUCCUUAUCCUGGGCCUUCCCUUCCUCUGGGGCACUUGAAUUUUGAAAUCUUAAUUACAGACUUUCAGCCUCUCAAGAGACCUUAGAGAUCAUCAAGGCCACUAUAUACCCACUUCACAGUGGAAGAGAUGAAGCCCCACCCAGAGAGGUGAAGACUUCCACUCAAGACCAAGGGCGAUGCCGGCUCAGCGAGUUGAGGAGUUGAAAGAAAGAUUUCUUGCGCACUCAAGGUCUGGUAGUAGUGCUCUUUAAUUCAGAGAAUAGCAUGGGGACAGGAUCCACAGGCAGUGAAGGGCUGUAAUGUGUUGAGGGUUAGGGCUACAUUUAUAAGGCGUGGGUACAUGACUUAUUUUUACGAGACAAAGGGAAAGAUGAUGUAAAAAGUCAUUAAAUGGUAUCAGUGCAGGUGGGGUCUGGUUACUGUGUGGUCGUAUAACUUUAGAUAUGAAUCAGGUCAUGUAGAUCGGCAUGUAGGCCAGGACGCCUUGGGCUUCUCUCCCUGGGGCAGCCUUGAUCCACAUCAAGGGGACCAGAAUGCUGAUCCAGGUGACACCACGUCAUGUCAUGAGGAGUUAUUUUUUGUUUUCCUCAAACCUUGGGGUAGGUUGGAGGUGACACUGAGCUUGCUUUGAAUGGGGUUACAGGCUGGGAUGUUGCAGAAUGGAGCAACCCCCUGAUGUUGCUGCUGGUCUGGAUGGGGAGGGGCGUGGGGGGAAAGCAUGGCUUCAACCUUUGUUCCUGAAAACAGGGAAAGGAGAAGGGUUGAUCUCUAAGGGACUAAAAGGAAGGUGGUUUCUGGCCACCUAGUGUGUAUUUCCUCUCUCCCUUAUGGAAACAGUGUGGUAUGAAUGUUAUCAGUACCACCCCCCACCCGCCGCCCCGCCCCAGCAUCCCUCAGCCAAGGGACGUAUGCUCCCUCCGGCUUCGAAUCUGGAUCAGAGUCACUGAGAGGCUGAAGACAGCAGGUGCUGUCCCCACCAGCAGAGGCCCUCUGAGAAGGUCAGUCCUGCUUGGGGCCACUGUCUGUGGGCUUCCUGGCUCUGGGAUCACCUUGGGGUGGGGGGUUCCCGUCUCUUUCCAGGCUGGUUCUCUAGCCUUCCCAAUGAGUCUGUGUCUUCUUCAUAUCCUUUGGCUUAAGUCAGCAAAGUAGGUUUCUGUUACCUUAACUUACUGAUAAUAAAAAGACUUUCCCUCCAUUUUCAGGGUUGAGGUUUUGGCUCUCAGAUCACAAAGCCAAAUAAUAAAAAAUAAAAUAAAUAUCCCUUAGUCCAUAUUGAGAUAUAUAUAUAUAUAUAAGUGAAUUAAUGAAUACGUAAAUGAGGGAGAAGGGAUAACUCUUUCUUACAGAGGAAUUCUAAGUGAUAAAUGUGGAAGAAUGAGAGAAAUAGACAUUCCCCAUAAGAACACCCAGCAGUAAUUGCUGCAGGCAAGAUCCACAGACAGAUGCUAAAGUUAGUGGGUGAACGCUUAAGGAGGUGCAGGAUAUUUGCAUCAUCUCAAGGUCUGUCUCCAAAAAUAGAUGUUUAUUAAUAACAAAGGGAAAAAUAGUAACUUCACGCUGAAGAAAAUUGGCAGUCACUACCUUCACCCCGUGACCAAGGUUUACACCAUCAGAAACAAGACAUGUUGAUGUCACGUACCCCAUGAUGUGGCGCACUGGGAAGAGCGUAUCAGACCUCUGUGGUCCUUCCCAGGACACAUAACCUCAAUGUAAUCAUGAUAAAACAUCAGACAAUACAAACAGAGGAACAUUUUACAAAAUAACUGACUCUUUAAAAGUCUCAAAGUCAUGAGACAGGAACUGUCAAAGAUUAAAGGAGAAUAAGGAGACGUGGUGGCUAAGUGUAAGGUGAGAUCCUGCAUUCGCUCCUGGAAUAGGAAAAAACAUUGGUGGAAGAACUGGUGAAACCCAGUGAAGUUUGAGUUUGGUUCAUAUUAUUGUCUCAAUGUUACUUCCUUAGUUUGGAGAGUCGUACUCUAGAGAUAUAAGAUGUUAAUAUUGGGGGAAGCUGGGUGAACAGUAUAAAGGAACCCUUUGUACUAUUUUUGCUACUCUGUAAGUUUAAAAUGAUCUUAAAAUAAAAAGGUUACUGCCUAUAUUUUCUUCUAGGUGUUUUAUGGUUUCAGGUCUUACAUUCAAGUAUUUAAUCCAUUUUGAGUUAAUUUCUGUGUGUUGUGUAAGAUAAUGGGCUACUUUCAUUCUCUUGCAUGUGGCUGUUCAGUUUCCCAACACCAUUUACUGCAGAGACUUUCCUUUCUCCAUUGUAUUUUCUUGGCUCCUUUGUCAAAUAUUAGCUGUCUGUAGAUGCGUGGGUUUAUUUCCGCGCUUUCAAUUCUGUUCCACUGAUUUGUGUGUCUGUUUCUGCCAGUACC